rnacentral:rRNA from 1 species
AACGUAGGACACGAGCGUUAUCCGGAGUUACUGGGCGUAAAGGGCGUUCAGGCGGGUGAUUAAGUUCGCUAUGAAAGCGCCGGGCUAAACCCGGCGAGGCUGGCGGAUACUGGUCAUCUGGAGUCGGCGAGAGGGAGGUAGAAUUCCGCGUGUAGUGGUGAAAUGCGUAGAGAUGCGGAGGAAUACCAGUGGCGAAGGCGGCCUCCUGGCGCACGACUGACGCUGAAACGCGAAAGCAUGGGGAGCGAACGGG